CGCUGGCGGCAGGCCUAACACAUGCAAGUCGAACGGUAACAGGAAGCAGCUUGCUGCUUCGCUGACGAGUGGCGGACGGGUGAGUAAUGUCUGGGAAACUGCCUGAUGGAGGGGGAUAACUACUGGAAACGGUGGCUAAUACCGCAUAACGUCGCAAGACCAAAGAGGGGGACCUUCGGGCCUCUUGCCAUCAGAUGUGCCCAGAUGGGAUUAGCUAGUUGGUGAGGUAACGGCUCACCAAGGCGACGAUCCCUAGCUGGUCUGAGAGGAUGACCAGCCACACUGGAACUGAGACACGGUCCAGACUCCUACGGGAGGCAGCAGUGGGGAAUAUUGCACAAUGGGCGCAAGCCUGAUGCAGCCAUGCCGCGUGUAUGAAGAAGGCCUUCGGGUUGUAAAGUACUUUCAGCGGGGAGG
rnacentral:rRNA from 2 species